rnacentral:rRNA from 1 species
GAUGGACGCUAGCUACAGGCUUAACACAUGCAAGUCGAGGGGAAACGAUAUUGGAAGCUUGCUUCCGAUAGGCGUCGACCGGCGCACGGGUGAGUAACGCGUAUCCAACCUGCCCACCACUUGGGGAUAACCUUGCGAAAGUAAGACUAAUACCCAAUGAUAUCUCUAGAAGACAUCUGAAGGAGAUUAAAGAUUCAUCGGUGAUGGAUGGGGAUGCGUCUGAUUAGCUUGUUGGCGGGGUAACGGCCCACCAAGGCGACGAUCAGUAGGGGUUCUGAGGGGAAGGUCCCCCACAUUGGGACUGAGACACGGUCCAAACGCCUACGGGAGGCAGCAGUGAGGAAUAUUGGUCAAUGGGCGAGAGCCUGAACCAGCCAAGUAGCGUGCAGGAUGACGGCCCUAUGGGUUGUAAACUGCUUUUAUAAGGGAAUAAAGUGAGUCUCGUGAGACUUUUUGCAUGUACCUUAUGAAUAAGGACCGGCUAAUUCCGUGCCAGCCGCCGCCGUAA